rnacentral:lncRNA from 1 species
GCUCCACUUCCUGCGACGGAUACCGCGUGGUUCUUCCAUCCUCUGGCAAGUCAUGACAACGGACGCCGCUCCACUCCCCACGACAGAUUCCACGUGGCAUGCCCCAGUGAUAGCCACGAUUCCACUUCACUACUCUUCGCAACAAACUCCUCCUGACUCUGGGCGGCCCACUGCCAGACGGUUACAGACAUCGCUAUCAGUCUGUUGCCCC